CGCGGGCUUCGGAAGGAGACGGGCUUGAAAGGACUUUACAGUUGGUGCAGUGGGGCUGAGGAGAGUAGGAGGCAACCGUGUGGGCUUCUCAGAAGAAAAAAUUUCCUAAGUUACUCGCUGUCCCAGUCCUGUUGAAUGUUUUCCUGGAGACUCCACUGAGACACCAUGUGUGCUGUCCAUCACAUGACCCCACCUUAAACCAGAUGUGGUACCCACACAGGCUGCUUGUGCCUUGCUACUUGUGACUUGUCAAGUCUGUGCCAACAUGGAUGAGCUGCAGCAUUUCCUUGCCAAAAAGCUAAGACCUUUACAGUUGCUAAAAAGCGACUUGAUUUUGUAUUUCUAAGCUGGGACAUACCAACUUUUAUAUCAAGUGACUGAAGCACACACUCUAUGGUAAUCACUAUAAAAGAACUCUGUAAGGCAUUACCCCUUCCUCAGAAACUACAUUGCCCUUACCACCCACCAUCUUCUGGAAAGGUUGAAAGAACCAAUGGCAUCCUUAAAUUUAAAUUAACAAAACUUUCAUAAAUUCUUGCCAUUCCUCAGCCAAAGGUAGCCUCCUUCCCACUAGCCUUUAUGGCUGUGUGGUCCAUUCUCCUGGGGACAUAUCAGUUGUCCCAGUAUGAAUUGGCUAGUGGAAGGUCCAUACAUUUAGGGAUUUUACCUCCAAUAAUAGACUGUCCUACUUCAUACAAACAUGACAAAAUAUUGCAAGGACUCAUGUACUAUACCCAGUCCCAUCACAAAGAUCAUUAUGCCAUUGUUCCCACAACAUCUUCCUUAACAGCCUCUUUAUGAUCUUUGGCAAGGAGAUUUCAUCUAUUGGAAGAGGUAUGAGAGACAAACUGUUCUUGAACCUAAUUGGAAGGGACCUUAUUAAGUACUUUUAACAACAAAUAUGACAGCACAGAGAGCCAAUUAUUGGGUUCAAGUUUCACAACUAAAGAAGUAAUUCAGAAUUCCAUACAAUUGGGAGACUGCUCCAAUAAGGUACCUCAUACUGAAGAUUCUCAAAGAUCUUCUAGAAGCAGCCAGUCUUUGGAAGUUGACAGCAGAUCCAAGACCUUCAGAACAAGUGGAUGACCGCAAGUAGUGGACAGCUUCCUGCCAAGACACUGGACCAAGAUCCCUGCCUUAUUCCUGUUCCAUUUUUUAUCUGUUUGUUUAUACUCAUUCUUCUCAUUUUAUUUAAGCCCCUGGCUUUUGUCCAUUCAGAAUGGCCACUUUUUCUUUUAUUGUCUACUUAGUUUAAUUGUUAGGUCAGAACAUACUUACCUAAUGCCAUUCUUAGAUUAUCCCAAACAGUAGCCACUUCCCUCAGUCUUACUGACUGCUGGAUAUACCAUCCAUCACCAGACCCCCAUGAUAAAUAUCUCUGGGCAAUUCCAAUCUGAUUAAACAAGUCCGUAGGGAAUUGUAGCCAGUCAUGUUCCUCUUGCAAUUACAUGGACAAAUGACCUUAAACAAAUCAACCUGUGGCUUUGCUAGUGUCCCUCUCUCCCUGAAAAAUAAUCGGUUACUAUAAUCUAUUGAUUAGACCCUGGGUAUUUCUAAAUUUAAAUUCAACAAUAUUUGUAGAGUGAUGGGCCAGAUACUUGCCAGUUGGAAGAAGCUAAUUGAAAUCCAGAAAUGUAUCCCAGCUAUGUAAGGCCUUGGUUCCAACCUUAUAUCAUGAGCAACUCAUUUUUUCCUGUGUCUUCAUGUGCUCCUCCCAGAUACCACUUCCUUUGCAGCCAGGAUACCUGGUCUUGUUUGCCUCUGAUUAACACCUCAUGCACUUUAGGAAUAGUAUCCCAUGUACUUGUCUGUACACAGAGAUCUUGAUUCUAUAAAUCACCAAGGCUAGAAAUCCUAACUCAUACAUGAGUUCUUCGAAAACAAGGCCACUCUUGCUUAUUCAGGCACUCUACCUGAGGGAAUUACUGAUCCAUUGUUUAUGCAGUAUUCCCAAUGGUGAGAAUUAUACAAAUAGAAAAGACUGUAAGAAACUUAUUACUGACUCAAGCAGGAGUUAACAAUGUUAUCACUUCUGCUCUAGAUGGAGUAUAAAUCAGUUGCAAUUCAUUGGCAUGAGCCAAUGGACAAUUGCAUUUUUCCAGAUUCUUGUUGGCCAGUCAUGGUGGCAUCUGUGUCAUUGCUAAAAUUUCUUGCUGUACUUGGAUCAAUGAAAAAUCCAAGGUAGAAGAGACUAUACAUCUCUUUAAGGAAAAAACUACUUGGCUGUCUUAAGUUGAUCCUCAUGGCCUGUGGGAUUUGCUCUUUUGGCCUGAGUUGGGCUAUUGGGUUCCUGGUUCUGAAGCAUAUUAAAGGAACUAUUACUUGUUCUUGAUUUUGUCAUAAUGGUACUGAUGCUGGUCUUUGCAUUGUGUGGAGAGUUUUAAGUUCUGUGUAGCCACUCUCUUGUUAUAUCAUCACCAUAAUAGUAAAACAACAAAAAUAUUAAGAAGCUCUCACAAUAAGAUUGACGAUGGGGGCAACUGAACAAUCCCCAGAGGUGAAGAUGUGGAUCUCUAGCCUUCCCUAAAUUGGCCAACCUCUUGCAAGUAAGAGAAUGACCAAAAGGAUGACCAAAAGGGGCGUCUGAGGGACUGAAUAUACAAAGGAACACUAGCCAGACCAUAUAUGGCAGUAGAACUCUGACCUAAAACCUCUGCAGCAACCAGCCCAGCAAGCCAGACCACAAUCUCUGCAGCAACCAGCCCAGAAUAGUCAGGGCAUAGUCAAUGACUAUCGGCAUCCUUUUAUUUUGCCUCCAUUUCCAACUCAGGACCAACCAGAGAAAGCCAAAUAUGAUCCUCAAACCAAUCAAAUAUGAUAACCCCUUUUCUAGUUAACCCACAUGAAGCUACCCCAUAGCAACAGCCUGCAAUCAGGGCAUACUUGAUGCCUUCCCUUUUUUCCAUUAUAAAGCUUCCCCACUCCACUGCCUGCCUUUGAGUCUCUGCCAAAUACAAGUGAUGGUGACUGACUGUCUUGCUGUAACAAGUUGUGAAUAAACAGGUUCUAUUAUAA